rnacentral:miRNA from 1 species
CAGGGGCUGGCUUUCCUCUGGUC